rnacentral:rRNA from 1 species
AACGAACGCUGGCGGCAGGCUUAACACAUGCAAGUCGAGCGCCCCGCAAGGGGAGCGGCAGACGGGUGAGUAACGCGUGGGAACGUACCCUUUACUACGGAAUAACGCAUGGAAACGUGUGCUAAUACCGUAUGUGCCCUUUGGGGGAAAGAUUUAUCGGUAAAGGAUCGGCCCGCGUUGGAUUAGCUAGUUGGUGGGGUAAAGGCCUACCAAGGCGACGAUCCAUAGCUGGUCUGAGAGGAUGAUCAGCCACAUUGGGACUGAGACACGGCCCAAACUCCUACGGGAGGCAGCAGUGGGGAAUAUUGGACAAUGGGCGCAAGCCUGAUCCAGCCAUGCCGCGUGAGUGAUGAAGGCCCUAGGGUUGUAAAGCUCUUUCACCGGUGAAGAUAAUGACGGUAACCGGAGAAGAAGCCCCGGCUGACUUCGUGCCAGCCGCCGCCGUAACAC